rnacentral:rRNA from 1 species
UAGGGAAUAUUGCACAAUGGAGGAAACUCUGAUGCAGCGACGCCGCGUGAGUGAUGAAGGACUUCGGUUCGUAAAGCUCUGUUGCAAGGGAAAAAGUUCUGAUUGUACCUUGUGAGGAAGGGUCGGCUAACUUCGUGCCAGCAGCCGCGGUAAGACGAGGGACCCUAGCGUUGUUCGGAAUCAUUGGGCGUAAAGCGGGUGCAGGUGGCUUUGUAAGUCAGGUGUGAAAUCCCAGGGCUUAACCCUGGAAGUGCAUUUGAUACUGCGAAGCUUGAGUGCUGGAGAGGUUACUAGAAUACCUGGUGUAGUGGUGAAAUACGUAGAUAUCAGGUGGAACACCGGUGGCGAAGGCGGGUAACUGGCCAGACACUGACACUCAGACCCGAAAGCGUGGGGAUCA